UGUAAACAACGGACUCUGUCUAUGAAACUUUGAAAUGAAUGGAUGACAGUCGAUCUUAGUCAUAAUACUGAUUGACAGUGAAUGCUAAUGACUCCAUGUGUUGCAGAAAGGGUGAUGAAUCCAUGAUCUGCUGCAUCCACACCAAGAUGACCAGACUCACACCAUUGGACAACCAGAUUGCUUGGAAAGUUGAUAGGGCAUUCAUAACUAUGACUGUUAUCCAUUAUACAUAAGAUGUCACCAAGGUGUUCUUCCAGGUUUUAGGCAACCAGAAGGACACUAGAUGUUAGCUGGCUUGUUAGACAAUAGAUCUACCUAGUGAUGUGUUGGACUGUCUUUGGAUUCAGAUAAUUUCAAGCAGAAUCUUGAUCUGCAGUGACGUGUUGGACUGUCUUUGGAUUCAGUUAACAGGCUGUUUGACCGGUUCAUCAACAAUCCUUGAAUGACAGGAGAUGUCUGGUUGAUAGAUGUGAAAAAUAUCUGCUUCCUCUUGAGACGUCAUCUUGAGACCUAUUGGGUAUCUAAUGGGAAAAUGAAGCUCCACACUGAAAAGGAGAGGAGUCAUGAGGGAAAUAAGAUGAUUCUACUUCUUUCUGCAUUACCAAAAAGAAGUAUUAGUCCACAGUGAUCUUUCAGUGAUAAUCCACAGUGAUCUUUCAGUGCUGAUCUACAGUGAUCUUCCAGUGCUGAUCCACAGUGAUCUUUCAGUGCUGAUUCACAAUGAGCUUUCAGUACUGAUCCACAGUGAUAAUUCAGCGCUGAUCCACAGAGAUCUUACAGUGCUGAUCUACAAUGAUCUUCCAGUGCUGAUCCACAGUGAUCUUUCAGUGCUGAUCUACAAAGAUCUUCCAGUGCUGAUCCACAGUGAUCUUUCAGUGCUGAUCCACAGUGAUCUUUCAGUGCUGAUCUACAAUGAUCUUUCAGUGCUGAUCCACAGUGAUCUUUCAGUGCUGAUCCACAGUGAUCUUUCAGUGCUAAUCCACAGUGAUCUUUCAGUGUUGAUCUGCAAUUUAAUGAUCUUUCAGUGCUGAUUCACAGUAAUAUUUUAGUGCUAAUCCCCAGUGAUAUUUCAGUGCUGAACCAUAAUGAUCUUUCAGUGCUGAUACACAGUGAUAGUUCAGUGCUGAUCCAUAGUGAUCUUUCAGUGCUGAUUCACAGUGAUCUUUCAGUGCUGAUCCACAGUGAUCUUUCAGUGCCGAUCCACCAUUAUAUUUCAGUGCUGCCUCACAGUGAUCUUUCAGUGCUGAUCCACAGUGAUCUUUCAGUGCCGAUCCACCAUUAUAUUUCAGUGCUGCCUCACAGUGUUGUUUCAGUACUUAUCAGACAAUGAGCUUUGAGUGUGCCGAGGAUGAUACUGGCUGACAGCAAAAUCAACAGAAUCCUUGAAACUAUUCAAAACUUGAUGUCUGUGAACAUGUACAAUCAUGAAUUAUUACAUGUUUUUCAGUGAAUUAUCAAAAUAUUAAAAUGAAAUACAUCUGGUGUAUUUACAGUGAAAAAUACCAAAUACAUUUGCCACUGGGUAAGAAACUAUAAAAUGGGUAGAUUUAAUCGAAACAUGAAAUAAAAAAAAAAUUGUUUGUUUUACAUGCAAGAUUAAAAUAUCUUUCACUCAUUAAGGUAGUUCUGCAUGUUUGUAUCAAAUAUUUUUCUACAAUGUAGAAUUUGAUUAAACUCUGCUUUUUCCAAAACUUCAGAAUAUACUUAGAAAAUUCAGCAAAUAAAAAAGAUUGGGUCGUGUGCUUGAAUUUUUGCGCAAAAAAAAUAUGGAUCUCACGCAGUUUUUCAUAAUGGAAGUCUAUGGGAAAAUCGCAACUUUCAUAACACUUUCGCAAAUAGAAAUUUUUAUACACUGUAGAUUUUAAUGAAACUUCUCAAAGUCUUAAAUAAAUAUAAUUAUGGUCUAUAAUUUGGUGAAAUAAAAUGAAGAGGUCCUUGUGCUUAUUUUUGAGAUACAAAUGUAUUUGACCAUGAUUAAAGUGAACCGCACAUUUUAAGCUAAUUUUCAGACAUUAUUUUGAAUUAUUUAACAUGUCAAAUAUUUUAAUAUCAUAUUUUAACUUUAGAAAGAUAGUAACAGUGCCAUUGUAAUAAAUUUAAUUGCCAUUUAUUCAUAAAAUGAUUUUCAUUUCCGUCUGCCCAAUCCAGGCUUUAUUCUACGCUUUCCGGAUAAAUGACGUUACGCCAUCACUUCCGGUUUAUCAAACAUGCAGAACUACCUUAACACCAGAUCUUACAUUUUCGCUUGUGGCUGUGCCUAGUCUCUUGUGAUUUUUGUUCCUGUUAAUAUGAGGAAAGAUGAUUUAGCUUAUAUAACUUAGUAAACAUGAAAUGAGGAAGUGGUAUUUAUGUGUUUAAUUUCUGUGUAUGUUGAUGUGUAAAUUCCCUAUAUAUAUUUUGUGUAAAUGAUUUUGUUAUGGUAACUUACACAUAACCCGAAGAUUCCAGUCUCUUACAAUUGCAUAAGGGAGUCGACUCUUUGAUUUAGUGGUUAGAGCAUUGGACUAGCACCCAAGUGACUAGGAUUUGAAUCCAUAGGCAUUUUUUUACCUACAAUGCUAUACUCUUUGAUUUAUAAUAGUUAAAAGUCACACACAAGAUUGGGGCUUGUUCUGGAUGCAGCCUUGAAUUUACCUCAAAUCCAAAAAUGGCUUACACAUCGUCAUAAAUGAUGACUUCUUUGAAGAGGGGAAGUGUUAUGGUCAAUUAUGCAUAGUCUGCCCAUUUAAAGCCUGUCUUUGACAAUUGCAACGAGACAUCUGUUUGGCUCAGUGGUUACAGCAUUGGACUAGUAGCCAGGGUUUGAAUCCUGUCACAUGCAGUUGGGAUUUUUCAUUAUAAAAUGCUAUGCUCUUUGAUUUGUUACUGUUAAGUCAAAAGAAUGUGUGAAACAUUUUUUGCACUUAGUAUUUUAAAGUGUAUAUACAUGUAGCUUGUAAGUGAUGACAGCAUCAGAGAUUUGUAUUCAUAUUUUUAUGCAUAAAUGAUGCCCACAUUUAUCUUACUGGGAAUGGUGACUUUUUAACUUUCUGUUACCUACCAUCACUCCUCUUUACAAGUAUUAUGUGUAGCUGCGCACUUGUACAAAAAAUUUAAAAGUAGAAUGGACAGGAGAAUAAAAGUAAUACAUUAUGUGUAUUGCAAGUAUGAAUACAGUUGAUAGUUGAUAGUGCAAAAAACAAGAAGGAUUUACAGAUAAAAGCAGUUUAAAAACAGGUCUAUCAUAUUAAGCAUUGUGUUAAGCAUUGUGAGCAAGUCUGGUCACACUCUGCUUAAACUGAUUCAGGGUGGGGGCUUGCACAAGUUGUACUGGAAGGGAAUUCCAAAGCACUAUGGUGGCUGGAAAAAAAGAGUACUUAUAGAAAUUACAGGGAGUAAGAAUCUGGGUAUAGGAGUAGGGAUGCAUAUGUCUUGUUAGACGGGAUGGAUGAAGUAGUACAGCAACCAAACCAUUCACUAUUUUGUAAAACAUAAGGAGGCUGACUUAUCAUGUGGCACUGCUGUAAGGGGAGUAGUCAUGAUUAACCCAUGGUGCUGCCCUCCACUGAAUCAUUUCGAUCUGGUGGAUGUAAUGUUAGGUAUAAGGGUUCCGGACACAGCUAGCAUAUUCCAGCUAUGGCCUGGUUAGAGCUUUAUAAGCUACUUCCCGAACUUUUGGGUUUUUGCAUGGAAUAUUUCACUUAAUAAAGUGAAGUGUUCGGGCAGCUUUGGGCUUAGGACGUGAAUAAAUUGAUAUGUUUAUUCCAGUUAAGAUCUGAGGAUAUACUAACCCUGAGAUACUUUGCAUUAAGUGAAUUAAUUUUCUGCAUGCAGGAUAUUCCAAUUUCUUUUACACCUUUGGGGUGGGGGUAAAUUAACUCACAUGCUGUCAUUUCUGAAUAAAUGUGUAUUUAAGGUAUCAGACCCAUAAUAGAGUACUUCCUUUUUGAAGAGUAUUCAAUUCCUACAAUAAACCUACUUUGACUGAAAUUUUUCAGGGGGCAUAGAUUAAAGCCCUACUGGGACCAUUUUUUUCUCUCCUUAUUUUCUUUUUUCCAAGUAAGUUUAUACUUUUUUCAAGACCUAUUUUUGAUCUAUUGUACAAAAGUGGGAAUUUUUAUUUUGAUAAUUGAAAGAUAUUGAUUUCUUGCUGUUCAAAGUGAAUUUACCUCUGAAACAAAAGGGGCCAGAGUUAGACAUCUUUAAAAGUACUGAGUUAUAUGUGGUAAAAGUUCUCUAGUUUGCCUUUACUCUUUAGAUUACAUAUUGUGGAAAAAAAGUAGGCAGGUUUUUUUUGCCACAUGAUUAUUUUUAGUUCUAACAUAACCUAUAUACAUGUAGAGCAAAAUCUCGGGUUAUUCUUCAAUAACCCACACAAGUGCAAUGACGUCAUCUGAUCCAGGUGCGUAGCAAGGUCAUAAAAAGUAGUUACCAAUUUUUCUAACAUUGUUAUAUUAGUUUGUUGUGUUACAUCAAAAUAACAAGUUCCUAAGUAUGAUUUAUCGUAGAAUAACCUGAGUUUUUUGUUCUUAUGCGAAACAAAAUAUCAUUCAAACCUACGGCCUUCAUUAUAUAUUCUUAUGCAUAAGAACUCAAAACACAGGUUAUUCUAUGAUAAACCAGACUUGGGAACUUACUAUUAGGGAUCCAUUACCUUAAUGUAUUCUGAUGUUUGAAAAAUAGGGUAUGCAGAAAAAUCUGUCACUUGUUGAAUGUAUGGAUGGAAAUAUAUAUCUCUCAGGGAACUGUUUUUUUUUUCAGUAACUAAAAAGUCUUAUCCUCAAGACAAAUAUUUGAAUCUGCACCUUGAGCCAGUGACAGGUUCUUAUGAUAAGUAAUGUUAUUGUAAUAUUCUACAAGGGGAUUGUUGAACUGUACAUAGUAUAGCUUGAGUUGAAGACAACAUCAGAAAUCUAUGUUUGUGGUGAUAGCUGGAAAUUUUACAGUUGAAUAAUUGGAAACAGGAAAGGAAUGUUGAAAUGUAAAUUACCAUUAUGCCUCUUUCUCGUAAUUCCGAGCCUUCUCAUUGAUCCGAACCUUUGGAAAAUUUGCACUUGCAGAUGUUUUCUGUUUCUAAAUUUUAUGCAUGUUGUGGCAAAUCAUAUGACAGUUAAACAAGAAUAAAAAGAAAUAGUAUUACUAGCAUUAAAAUAGAAAUAUACACAACAGAAAAUUUUGGCACAAAAUUUGCUUCUCUAAAAUCACUUGGGUAUAAUAUAACCUUCUUAUAGAAAACUGAAACCACAUAUUGUAAAACUUUUUGGUCUGCAAACACAGUUAUAUAUCUGUUCUUAAUUUAAAAAAAAAAGAAUUUAAAAAAAAAACAUUAGUUUUUGAGAGCUUGUACAAAUGAUCACAAGUCUCGGUUCAACGAGAAAGUAUCUAGCUGUUUCAGAGGGUGAGGGUCAUCAUGUGAAAGCCUGGAUUAUUCAUUGACAGCAAUCCUUAGAAUUUUUGUUCAUGGGGAUUUCUUAAGUUUAGAUGUUGGUGUAUCAAACUGUAGCAAAAACUCUUUUUAAACUUAAAUCUGUUAUGGACAAGAACCGAAAUACCGGUUAAGGGGCUCGGAAUAACGAGAAAAGGGCAUUUAUAUUACCAUAAGAUAUGUUAAUUAUUGUAAUAUAAAUACUGCUAAACUCUUAACAGGUUACUUCAAAUUUAUAUUUUGUUUAUAGCACUUUUGGUAACUUUUUUACAUGUGUGUUUUAUAGAUAAAGGAUAAUUAUAUGCCUACUAAAACUUCCCAACUCAGAUACUUCAUGUUUACAUUUUUAUCAUACUAACUAAUGAAAGAUUUCAACAAGUUAUUACAAAUUAUUGUCUGUCACUUUAGGGUACAAAUUUCCUUUCUGUUAUCAUAUUCAGGAAACUUUUUUUUAUACUUUAUGUAGCAUAGCUGAGUGGGGGGAGAGUGUGGGAGGGGUGUUCCUCUCCCGCUAGUGGGGGUUCGUGGGGACUCCCCCGAGAAAUUUUUGAAUUUUGUGAUCAAAUUAACGCAAUUCUGAGCCAUUUUGUGUAAAUAAACAACACAAUUUUCACAUCUUUCAACAGUACUUUUGUUUUAAAUCUUUCAAAAUUUCAAAGCAAAUUUUACAAAUCUGUAUCUACAUACCCAUAAAUCUCACAAGGCCUCCUCCAAAACAAAUGAAUUCCGUGAUCAACUUUUUUUUUAAAUCAAUUUUUUUUUAUUUUGGCAAAAAUAAAGAUGUUUGUAUCGUAAUCGCUUCUUUAUUUAGAAUAUACCAUUUCAUGUGUAUGGUAUAUCUUAAUUACUAGUAUUUAAAACAAAUUCUAAGUUCAGUCUGUAUCAUUGCCAGCCAUGGCUUGCUGAAAUACAAUGGCAAUGCGCCUAUGACCUGUUGCAUUGAAAUCACUGUCAACACAGUCGAUGAUGAUGUUUUGAUAUUGAUGAAUAUGAAACAAAGUCAGGCCUGUAAUGCAUUGCUCCGACUAAAGCUGCUAAAUGACCUCUCUGCCGAGGCUGACAAUACUGGCAUUGUCAGCAGGAUUUUCGAACUUAUAUGUAUAUUUGGUAGCAGCUGGUAACUGGCAUCGACAGCCUCAGUGAGCUUUUCAAGUACAAAACCCUGCCCAGUUUUGAAUUUCCAUAGAUCAAGUCCAGUAUCAAUCAUUUAAGGACCAUACUCUUUCUUGAUUUCAGCCCAUAUCACAGAUAUUGUGCGAUAGCAGAUAUACUGGGCCUUCAUCCUUCUACUGGCAUGACACAGUCUGUCUUCUAAUUGGAUAAGUAAAUGAUCCAUAAAAGGAAGAAAUAAAUUCGAACACCAGUACUCCUUGACUGUGUUCGUCGAUAUAUUGUUUCGCUCUAUGUCGGCUGACUUGCAUAUUCAGCUGAGUGGCCAGAUCGACUGGCCUUCCCAACAACCCGUCAUUACAAUUGAUCAUCAGUGUAUUUUACUCCAUUUACAGUGAAAUAGACCCGGUGUGGAACAAUUUGAUCCUGACACAGUAGAGCCCUCCACCACACAAACACACAAAUUAGAUCUAUAAACUGUUAGAAUUAAAAUAAAAAUUGUUCAAUGCAAUUUAA